UACGUAGGGGGCAAGCGUUGUCCGGAUUUAUUGGGCGUAAAGAGCGUGUAGGCGGCUUUACAGGUCCGUUGUGAAAACUCGAGGCUCAACCUCGAGACGCCGGUGGAAACCGUAAGGCUAGAGUACGGAAGAGGCGAGUGGAAUUCCUGGUGUAGCGGUGAAAUGCGCAGAUAUCAGGAGGAACACCCAUUGCGAAGGCAGCUCGCUGGGACGUUACUGACGCUGAGACGCGAAAGCGUGGGGAGCAAACAGG
rnacentral:rRNA from 1 species